UAUUGUGUGGAUGCCCUGAAAG
rnacentral:miRNA from 1 species